rnacentral:lncRNA from 1 species
UUUGUGUUAAGAAAAGUACAUUUUAUACUUAUUAAAAGUAAUUAUAAUCUUAAUAAAAAAAAUAUUAUUCAUAAGAAGAAAUGUAAUAUUUCAAAAUUAUUACUUUUUUCACGAAAAUAGUUAAUUUUAUUCAUGAAAACUUAUAAUUUUAAUUAUUUGGUUAAGUAAUUAUGAUUGCAAGGAAAAAUAACCAUUGAUAUGAGUAAAGGUAUGAAAAAAGAAUGUAAAAAGUAAAAAAAUGUUGAAAAUAAAAAAUUAAAGGAGAAAAUAAGGAAAAAGGAAGAAGAAACAAAAAAGCAAAAAAUGAACAAAUAAAAGGAAUAAAAAUAUAAGCAAAAGAAAAUAAAAAUGGAAAAACAAAAUGUGGGGGAAAGAAGUUUCGAACUCUUGACCUUUGAGAAGACAAAGGGGAGCACCAACCACUGCACCACAUGAUAAUUUGGAUUUCAUUUAGCGAAUCUACUAUAUAAAAGACAACCUGUAAUAUAAAUGUGC